rnacentral:lncRNA from 11 species
GCCCUGUCCGUAGGGAGAUGCGGAUGAUGAUGUCUCCUCCGGCUACACACAGACCCGCGUCCAGUGACAACUGCGAGCAGAAGGAGGAGGAGAAAGAAAAGCCGGAACUGGGGAGAGGGAAAAGGGAAAAAGGGAUUUUGAUUUUUGACAAACAUUGGAUGGAUCUCGGGGAGAAUCAUUCCCGGCUGAAGCUUCUUCUGCCUCACUUUGCCUCCUGGAUCUAAUUCUUGCUGGGUCUCGACGGGCUUCUCUGCCUCCUUCCUUGUCUUUCGCUCAAGAGCCUUGACUUCUCCUCUCAUCAGCCCCCCUAUGUCACCCCACAUUUUUGCUUCUCCAACCCAACACCGAGAGAGCCAAGGUUAGGACGCCUGUCUUCGGGAAGCAUUCGGGGACAAAGUUUGCCUUCCCUGCCUGCGUGUCUUCAUCUUCUCCUUCUUUCCCAGCGUGGGAGAAAAAGCAAGAGGCUUGACCCCCUCCUUUCCCCCCCAAAAUCCGCUCGGACUCCCUUCGCCAAUGGCCAUUUUCUUACUUCUGGGUUUGUGGAUGGUUUCCAUUUGGAAUUGGAUCCAACUGGGGGAAAGGAGAUAAUUCACCGGAGGCGCUGAAAGGUAAGAGGACGCCGUCUCGCGUGGUUAUUUAUUUUGAUCCAAACCUUCCUUUCGGAGUUUAUUCUUGGGGCGUGGAUUUGGAGAAGGAUCCCAACCCGUGGUGGGUCCAACUUGAAAGGUUUGCCUUUUCAUAGCAUCGGGAGAUAUGCUUUUCAGAUCCGACGGGAGUUUCGACUCAGUUCCUCCUCGGUUUUCAAUCCAUUCCGUCUAAAUAGAUAUAAAUAUAUUCGGG